UACGGGGGGGGGCAAGCGUUGUUCGGAAUUACUGGGCGUAAAGGGUUGGUAGGUGGCUUGUUAAGUCAGACGUGAAAUCCCUCAGCUUAACUGGGGAACUGCGUCUGAUACUGAUGAGCUUGAGUGCAGGAGAGGAACGCGGAAUUCCACGUGUAGCGGUGAAAUGCGUAGAGAUGUGGAGGAACACCGAUGGCGAAGGCAGCCUUCUGGGCCAACACUGACGCUCAUGCACGAAAGCGUGGGGAGCAAACAGG
rnacentral:rRNA from 1 species